AGCUUUGCAAAGUGCCAAUGAGGUUUAUCCGAGGGGCAAUUAUUGCUAAUUGAAAACUUUUCCCAAUACCCUGCCAUGACGACUUGAAAUAUAGUCGGCACUGGCAAUUUUUUACAGUCUCUAUGGAGA
ensembl:snRNA U4 U4 spliceosomal RNA